AGCUUUUCGAUGAAGAACGCAGCGAAAUGCGAUACGUAGUGUGAAUUGCAGAAUUCCGUGAAUCAUCGAGUUUUUGAACGCAAGUUGCGCCCGAGGCUUGUCCUCGGGCAUCUCUGCCUGAGCGUCAUC
rnacentral:rRNA from 1 species